GACCUAAUGGUCAGGGGUCCCUUUACCUUUACCUUUAGGAACAGGAUGGUGAUAAAACGAAGGGCUGUAGGUCAGUGGCAGGGAGCCGAUAUGUGCAAGGGUGGAAUGGGGUGUUUCAAUAGCACACCAUUGCACACCCAGAACGUACCCCCCCACACACAAAUUGUGGGUUGCCAGUAUGCAGAAGACCCCAGGUUGAACCCCUGGGAUCUCCAGGUGGGACGAGGAGGGCCCACUGGUCUGCCUUGGUAUAAAGCAGCUUCCUAUGAUACUCUUACACACCACCGCAAUCUCAAUGAGAUUCCAGAGGUUGCAGGCAUGCUUCAACUCAGGGCCUGUGAUUCCUUUUUGGGAAUAAGGCACAGCAGAGACUGUGGUGUCUUUACGAUAUAUGGUUUAUUUGCACAUAUCUGAGCCGACUGUGAAGAGCUCUCUUUCCCUCCUAGCUGCCAUGUUGGAGCCAAAGCUGCCAGCCCACUUUCUGCUCUCACCCCCCCACUUCCUCCUUACCAAACUGCUUGC